CGAAUUGUAGUUUAGAGAAGCGUUUUCUGGGGCAGCUCGGGCACAAGUCCUUUGGAAUGAGGCAUCAUAGAGGGUGAGAAUCCCGUCUGUGGCCCGAUGUCUGCUCCUUUGUGAUACGCUUUCGAAGAGUCGGGUUGUUUGGGAAUGCAGCCCAAAAUGGGUGGUAAAUACCAUCUAAAGCUAAAUAUUGGCGAGAGACCGAUAGCGAACAAGUACCGUGAGGGAAAGAUGAAAAGAACUUUGAAAAGAGAGUUAAACAGUACGUGAAAUUGCCAAAAGGGAAACGCUUGAAACCAGUGUUGCUCCCAGUAAUCAGCCGUUCUUCGAACGGUGCACUUACUGGAUGCAGGUCAACAUCAGUUUGUUUUGCAGUAAAAAGCCUCGUGGAGUUCUUCGGAGCUACGCGUUGUCAUGCUGUGAGGCAGACUGAGGUUACCUGGUUGAUUCUGCCAGUAGUCAUAUGCUUGUCUCAAAGAUUAAGCCAUGCAUGUCUAAGUAUAAACAUUUGUACUGUGAAACUGCGAAUGGCUCAUUAAAUCAGUUAUAGUUUAUUUGAUAGUACCUUGCUACUUGGAUAACCGUG
rnacentral:rRNA from 1 species